GACGAACGCUGGCGGCGUGCUUAACACAUGCAAGUCGAACGAAGCUUGAUUACGGAUUCUUCGGAUGAAGUAUGAUAUGACUGAGUGGCGGACGGGUGAGUAACGCGUGAGUAACCUGCCCUUCAGAGGGGGAUAGCGUUUGGAAACGAACGGUAAUACCGCAUAAUGUAUUUUGACCGCAUGAUCGAAAUACCAAAGAUUUAUCGCUGAAGGAUGGACUCGCGUCUGAUUAGGUAGUUGGUGGGGUAACGGCCUACCAAGCCGACGAUCAGUAGCCGGACUGAGAGGUUGAUCGGCCACAUUGGGACUGAGACACGGCCCAGACCCCUACGGGAGGCAGCAGUGGGGAAUAUUGCACAAUGGGCGCAAGCCUGAUGCAGCAACGCCGCGUGAAGGAAGACGGUUUUCGGAUUGUAAACUUCUGUUCUUAGUGAAGAAUAAUGACGGUAGCUAAGGAGCAAGCCACGGCUAACUACGUG
rnacentral:rRNA from 1 species